GGAAAGGUAGCAGAAUACAACUGUCACUAAUAUGGCAUUAUGUAAAAAUGUGGAUGUAUAACCUAUGUGAUUCUGCACUUUGUAUUUGGGGUAAAAAUGGGAGUUAAUAACCCACUUGAAUCAAAUGUAUGAAAGAUGAUAUGUCAUGAGCUUUGUAAUGUUUUGAACAACCAAUUAAAAAAAAAGAAAAUAAAUGAAAAAAAAUAAAUCAAAUGCAUAUAUAUGUAUACACAUACAUAUAUAAUACUGAAAUGAACACCAGUUUGUUUUUCACUCAUCUUAAUAUUGUUAGUACUUUUAAGGAAGUCACUGUUUUAAUGUAAUUAGUUUUCUUAUAAUUCUUGCAAAAUGAAUGUUAAUUUGUAUUUCUUUACUAGAAGUCUAUCAGUAGCAUUGAGUAAGUACUUAUCCCUCUUGUGGCUCCAUAUACCUUUAAGUAUUAAUGUCUUCAAAACUUCAUUUUGCUGUAAAUGAGUAAAAUUCAAAGAGUUAUCAAUAUCUGAAGGAAAAUAGAAUUAUCUUGGUGAAAGAAGAACUUUCAUCAAGAUGAUUCAGUGAUCAAAUCAUGUAUUUGCAAUAAAUUUCUCAACAUUAGCACCAUUGAUGUGUUGGACCUGAUAAUGAUUUGAUUUACUCUGGGAGCUAUCUUAUGCAUUGUAGGAUGGUUAGCAGCAUCCUUGUCCCCAAGAAAUAACUAGCACUCCUUGUUAUCCACUUGAUAACUAGUGCUCUGUAGGGUAGUGUUUUUCAAAUUGUGGUACAGGAAGAAAAAUUAGCACUACCCAGGAAGUUAGAAGUGCAUUUUACAUCAGAUGCACUGAUUAGAAACUCUG
rnacentral:lncRNA from 1 species